GUGCAGAUUAGGGUAAAAUUACCUGAGUACUUUCUGGUGGUUUUAAAAAUAACUUUAAAUACGUUGAAAUAUUUGAUACUGAAAUAGUAUGCUAAUGAAAUGAUUUGAUUGAACUGAAUUUAACUUUAAAAAUAACUGUUUAUAAAUCAACUUUAUUUUGAAAAUCAUGCUGUCAAAUCAACUAUAUGAAAUAAUGAAUUUUCUGAUUUAGUUUAAAUUUAAUGAAUACUAAUUUCUGAAAAAUAAGUUUAUAUAUCCACUCACCAAGUUAAGGACUGAUCAUGAUUUCAAUCUUGUCGUCAUCUCCUAAAAUAUGAUACAAAAUAACAAAUUUAACAACCACUCUAGGAAGUAUCCUUAACUUUUAACUACGAAAUACUAGAACUUGACUUCUCGACAUUUGGACAUAUUCUUUAAUUUCCUUCACAAUUGAAACUAAUUCUACCUUCUAGCCCUUACACUAAAAUCUAAUUCAUCAAAAUAAUCUAAUUCAUCAAAAUAAUCUUCUCUCCAAACAUAAAAAUAAUUCCUUCUUCCAAACUAGUGAAACUAAUAAUUAUAAUUUAACCAAUUUAAUUUUCCAUCUUGCUCCAUAAAUUCAUGCCUUUAAAUGAAUAUUUCAUCUCUACAAUUAUUCCCGUUAACUAUACUCAUUCAAAAACCCAAAUAAAAAUUCUAGGUUUUCUCCAAAAUUGGUAUUUCUUACCUUAGCGUAAGUAGCCUUCCCAAUUCAAAAACAUUGGCUUGCAAACAUAUUCCUUCCUUCAAUCUGGAAAUUAAACCAAUAAAUCACAACCC
rnacentral:lncRNA from 1 species